AGUGCUAUUGUUUACAAACGGACCAUAGAACGUGAGUGGAACACAGUUUAUGGACAUAUGACAAAUCGUAUGAAAGAUCAGCAAGUCAGAGAAGCAAUGUGGAGUCCCCUGCAUGCCGCACUUCCAAAGAUCCUCAGAAAAUUCUUUGCCAUUAAGUGCCAUUUUGAAUUCCCAGUGACCAGUAUAAGAGAGUGUGAGAGUGAUAACACCAAACUUAAGACACCUGCUCCCCAUUCACACCUGAGACAAUGACAUCAUCCAGUCAUCCACUCUGUCUCUGUCCAAAUCCCUCUCUGAAAGCAGCCCCACCCUCCUUAGAAACACAGACCAGGUGGUUUCUGCCCUACACUGAGGUAUGGACAUGGAAUACAUAUGGUCAAUUCCGGGCCUGAAGAAACGCCCAGAGGGCGUGAAACGGCGCAGACGGUUUGGAUGGGGCUCUGUAACACCUCCUGCCCUGCCAUACCAUCUAUCCAUAUGUAGCCAUUGUAAUCACGUUUUUAAUAAAGUGCACAGCA